rnacentral:rRNA from 1 species
UACGGAGGGAGCAAGCGUUGUUCGGAUUUACUGGGCGUAAAGGGCGCGUAGGCGGUCAGCACAAGUCAGUUGUGAAAUCUCCGGGCUUAACUCGGAAAGGUCAACUGAUACUGUGCGACUAGAGUGCAGAAGGGGCAACUGGAAUUCUCGGUGUAGCGGUGAAAUGCGCAGAUAUCGGGAGGAACACCGGUGGCGAAGGCGGUUCUCUGGGCCUGUACUGACGCUGAGGAGCGAAAGCGUGGGGAGCGAACAGG